rnacentral:tRNA from 1 species
GGGCCGGUGGCGCAGCUGGUAGCGCGCCCGCUUGGCAUGCGGGAGGUCGGGGGUUCGAGUCCCCCCCGGUCCACCA